AUUGAACGCUGGCGGAAUGCUUUACACAUGCAAGUCGAACGGCAGCACGGGGGCAACCCUGGUGGCGAGUGGCGAACGGGUGAGUAAUACAUCGGAACGUGCCCAGUCGUGGGGGAUAACGUAGCGAAAGCUACGCUAAUACCGCAUACGAUCUACGGAUGAAAGCGGGGGAUCGCAAGACCUCGCGCGAUUGGAGCGGCCGAUGGCAGAUUAGGUAGUUGGUGGGGUAAAGGCUCACCAAGCCGACGAUCUGUAGCUGGUCUGAGAGGACGACCAGCCACACUGGGACUGAGACACGGCCCAGACUCCUACGGGAGGCAGCAGUGGGGAAUUUUGGACAAUGGGCGCAAGCCUGAUCCAGCCAUUCCGCGUGCAGGAUGAAGGCCUUCGGGUU
rnacentral:rRNA from 1 species